rnacentral:tRNA from 1 species
GCAGACACGGUGAAAUUAGGAAGCAGUGCUAGAGCAUCUCGGUUCGAGUCCGAGUGGCGGCA